rnacentral:rRNA from 1 species
ACCUGGAGCGAAUCUCAGAAAUAACGUCUCAGUUCGGAUUGUAGUCUGCAACUCGACUACAUGAAGCUGGAAUCGCUAGUAAUCGCGGAUCAGAAUGCCGCGGUGAAUACGUUCCCGGGUCUUGUACACACCGCCCGUCACACCAUGGGAGUCGGGAAUGCCCGAAGCCAGUGACCCAAGCGAGAGCAGGGAGCUGUCGAAGGCAGGCCGGAUAACUGGGGUGAAGUCGUAACAAGGUACC